AUAUCCGACAGCAAACUGCCCGACAUGCAGGCCGGGUGGGAGCAGGGUAUCACCAACGUGCUGGCCGGCCUUUCCGGGCUGAACAUGAUCUACGAGGCGG
rfam:Rhodobacteraceae bacterium CG2_30_10_405 cg_3.0_sub100_scaffold_833_c, whole genome shotgun sequence.